GUGCUACCUUUGGCAGCACAUAUACUAAAACUGGAACUAUAAAGAAAAAAAAUAGGAUGGCCCAUGCACAAGGAAGACACAUAUAUUUCUGAAUAGUUCCAUAUUAAA